AUCAUGAAAGCUUGCACUGAUUUGAGGGCAGCUGGUGCCAAAACAUGGAAGAGAAAGAAACAGUUAAAUAUGAUUCAUCUGCAUUCCCCAAUUCAAUCUUGAGACACUGGGAAAAUUGUAUUCUUUCAGAAAUUCCUUCUGAGUUUGUCAGCCGUCACACAGCAUAGAAACGUUAGCAUUCAGCGAAACUGGACAUGCACCGCCACCCAGUAAACCUAGCUCUUUGGAGUAGCUUGAGGGUUAACAGCCUCACCCAACUGCAAGAUGCAAACAUUCUCCACACCCUUGAGCAGAAAAUAACAAAAAGAUACUCUGUACUCUCUGGUGAGAUGAAGAUCAGAGUCUGUGCCACAGGUCUGGAAUGCAAC